AAUCCUCCUCUUCUCCGGCGAGCCAGAGGGGCGAGAGCGGCGGCGGGGUCGUAGGCGGCGGUGUGUGGCGAUCCGGCGAAGGGAAUCUCGCACGGCGGCGCGGCUGCUGAGGGGGAACACCCUAAUCCCCUUCUCUCCCCGACCCCUCUCCCGGCGACGCGAGUGAGUGGCUGGCGGCAAGCGCCGAGCGGCUCCAGCUUCACUGGCUGGGGGGCGCACCCGAAGACGGCGCCAAGCCAUCGGCGGUCCGGCAAAGCACCGAGCCGACGGGGGAGGGGGGGAGGUGCCAAAAGUGGCAGCCCAAGCCGAUGCUUCCCGUCUCCGGUGAGGCGGCGACGGUGGGGAAGCUCCAAGACGGCGCGAGCGGUGGUGAACCGGCGCGACCCCGAGGACGCCGGAGAGCUUCAAGUCUGGUAAGUUUCAGAAACCCGAAGCUCAAAUUUCUUGAUUCGGGUUUUGGGGCUUAUUAGGGUUCUCCAGCCGAAUUAGGGUUCUUCAAUUUGGGAAUUUAUUCGAAUUAGGGUUUCUGAGGUGUGGAUUUUUGGAAUUUCAAUCUUGUUUAUCCCAAUCUCCUUUUUUCUGAGUUGAACAGAUUGGGGAAAAUUUUGGAAAGUUCAAUCUAGUAUUUUGUUGGGGGGUGGGGGGUUGGGGCAUACCACCUAGUACUAGGUAGGAACUGUAACAUAUGUUUCAGCCUGGUUUGCCAGACAGAACAACAAAAACUUAUAUUAGGAAAUCAAUAGUUGUAGUGUACAAAAAAAAAGUUAUAACUCAAGUUGCAUUGCACAAAUUUAUAAUUGAAGUUGCACAUGAUUUUAAAAUGGCAACUACAACAAUUAGGGAAUGCAACUUUGCUAUAUAUGAGGCAACUAUUAGUCCCAUACUUUAAAAAUCACAAAAUAAUAAGGAUUGCUUUUGGGCUGCAGGGUGCAAAUAGCUGAAACGCACAAGAAAGAAUCCCAUUUGUUGGAAUGGAUUAGGUAAUGUGAAAAACUAAGAAAAACCCGAUCACCGCUACACAAAUAGAAAAACAAAGAUGUGUGUUUUUAUUAUGCUAGCUCUAGAUUUUCAAUGUUUACAUCACAAGCAAUCCCGUACUGAGCCAAUACUGCAACUAACAUAUAAAUGCACUUAAUCGAAAAGAAAAACAUGUUCUCUGAACCGCACAGAAUUCAACGCAUACUGAGGGUUAGAUCGCAUACACAGAAUCACAGAUACACAUGGACUUUCCUUAUCAAUUUGUCUAGUCCUAGCAUUUUUUUCAGGCACACGGCCUAGUAACACUUGCUACAUACUCACGUAUCAUAAUUUUCCAGUACAAGCCAUUUCAUGCCAUUGCAAAUCGGAUGGAAGCAACAGCAAGAGAGGCAAAGUGAUAAAAAAAAUAAUAGUGUCCUACUCUUCCAAAUUCAUAAAAGCAUGGUCUAUAUAAGCAUAUAAAUACAUCUAGAUUGAUUGAGUUAAAUAAAAAACAAAGUAACAAUAAGUUGCACUUUCCAUAUGAUGCAAGUAUAGGUGGCUAACAGUAAAAAAAAAAAGGAUACAUUCAACAAAACCUUUAUUAUCUUUUUGUACACAUGUUUGUUGUCCCUUCUUCCUUUUUAUGGACUUCCUGAUAUGAAGAAUUGGAAAGGAAAAUUACCAUUGUUCUGAAUCCGCAAAGAGAAGUUCAGAACCAACAGAUCCAUCAUCCUACAAAUGCAAAUUCAAAUACAAAUGCUGUAUUAGCUUAGAUGGGUGAGAUCACAUACUUAUCAUAGUAAACCUAUUCUUUCUCCUGUCAAGACGUGGCUUCUUCCUUGCUGCUACAGGGCAACAGCAAAUCAUUACGUUCGUUCCCAUCCAUCUGCUGAGUGGCGUCUCCUCAUAUAUCCGGGCCAUCCGUUUGUUUAUUAAUAUGUCCAGUACUAACUUCUUUUAGGCAAGCAUAAUAAAACCUACUAGCACUUGCAAUAUAUCACCAGCUUGAUUCCCAGUAUUAGUUGGUUCAUGCCAUUGCAUAUUGGAUAAAAGCUGCAUAUACAGAAGAAAAUCGAGAUAAAUAGUGUUCAACUCUUCCAGAAUCACAAAAAUAGUCUCCAACUUUUAUGUACAAAAAGGUGUUCAUUCCCAGUAAAAAUUGCUAGUAUAUGUACAGUCUACCAAACACAACUUUAUCCCCGUCAAAACAACUUUGUAUUCAUCUCAUAGCAUAACAAAAAAAGUGCACGCACACAGAGAUUUCAAAAGCACUGGACUGUGUUAGAGAUACAGAGCGCUUAAAGUUCAGACUGAUAGGUUUCAAAACCGUGCACAACUUCACAGAGUACAGACUAAUUCACACAGACUUAAAAGUCC
rnacentral:sRNA from 1 species